rnacentral:piRNA from 1 species
UAGAUUAAUUUAUUGUGAGGUAGACUUAUGU